rnacentral:rRNA from 1 species
UACGUAGGGACCAAGCGUUGUUCGGAUUUACUGGGCGUAAAGAGCGUGUAGGCGGCCAGGUAGGUCUGGUGUGAAAACUCGAGGCUUAACCUUGAGAUGUCAUCGGAAACCAUUUGGCUAGAGUCCGGAAGAGGAAAGUGGAAUUCCUGGUGUAGCGGUGAAAUGCGCAGAUAUCAGGAAGAACACCAAUGGCGAAAGCAGCUUUCUGGGACGGUACUGACGCUGAGACGCGAAAGCGUGGGGAGCGAACAGG